CUGCGGAAGGAUCAUUGUAGAGUUCUAUUUUGAACAAUUGUGAAAUUCCACUUUUAUCUGUCGAAACUGGGUAUUUGUGCGGUUAACACUUUCGUUGUUUAGAUGGGUUUCGUUUGCUGCCUUUGUCUUUCUUCAGUUGAAGUAAGGAGUGGGGUAGAAAUAAGAAAUUGGCACGGUAUGCGCCAAGGAUGGUUGUUGUUGGAUAGCAUUGCCAUCAUUUUGAUGUGCUUUGUGUAAUUCUUGUGAGCGUCUGAAUGACUCAUGGCAAUGGAUAUCUUGGCUCUCGUGUCGAUGAAGAACGUAGCGAAAUGCGACACUUGGUGUGAAUUGCAAAAUCCCGUGAACCAUUGAGUCUUUGAAUGCAAGUUGCGCUAGAGACCAUUAGGUCGAGAGCACGCCUUUUUGGGCGUCAUGCCUUGCGUCAUUCUAUCCAUCCAACUACGGUAAGCAUAUUAUGGGCGAUGGAUGUGGUGAUUCACCCUCCGUGCUUUAAUUGUGCGGUUGGUUUAGGUGAAUGUUGUCAUCAGGUCUGUGUGCGGUGAAUGGUGUAUUGAGUUAACACACGAUGCCUAUAACUGCUUUAGAGAGUCCUAUGCAUGAUGUAACACUAAUUGAAACCAUUUUUGAUAUUUGCCUUAAUGUAAGCUUCGAACAUGACCACWAAUUUUCGGGGCAACCUGCUGAGUUUAAUCAUA
rnacentral:rRNA from 1 species